UACAGAGGUCCCAAGCGUUGUUCGGAUUCAUUGGGCGUAAAGGGUGCGUAGGUGGCGCCGUAAGUCAGGUGUGAAAUCUCGGGCUUAACUCCGAAACUGCAUUUGAUACUGCGGUGCUUGAGGACUGGAGAGGAGACUGGAAUUUACGGUGUAGCGGUGAAAUGCGUAGAUAUCGUAAGGAAGACCAGUGGCGAAGGCGGGUCUCUGGACAGUUCCUGACACUGAGGCACGAAGGCCAGGGGAGCAAACGGG
rnacentral:rRNA from 1 species